rnacentral:rRNA from 1 species
CAUUGGAAACGAUGGCUAAUACCGCAUAAUGCCUACGGGCCAAAGAGGGGGAUCUUCGGACCUCUCGCGUCAAGAUAUGCCUAGGUGGGAUUAGCUAGUUGGUGAGGUAAUGGCUCACCAAGGCGACGAUCCCUAGCUGGUCUGAGAGGAUGAUCAGCCACACUGGAACUGAGACACGGUCCAGACUCCUACGGGAGGCAGCAGUGGGGAAUAUUGCACAAUGGGCGAAAGCCUGAUGCAGCCAUGCCGCGUGUAUGAAGAAGGCCUUCGGGUUGUAAAGUACUUUCAGUUGUGAGGAAGGGGGUAACGUUAAUAGCGUUAUCUCUUGACGUUAGCAACAGAAGAAGCACCGGCUAACUCCGUGCCAGCAGCCGCGGUAAUACGGAGGGUGCGAGCGUUAAUCGGAAUUACUGGGCGUAAAGCGCAUGCAGGUGGUUCAUUAAGUCAGAUGUGAAAGCCCGGGGCUCAACCUCGGAACUGCAUUUGAAACUGGUGAACUAGAGUGCUGUAGAGGGGGGUAGAAUUUCAGGUGUAGCGGUGAAAUGCGUAGAGAUCUGAAGGAAUA